AGCUAUGGCCAUGCCACCCUGAACGUGCCAGAUCUAAUCUGAUCUCAGAAGCUAAGCAGGGUCAGGCCUGGUUAGUGCUUGGAUGGGAGACCACCUUGGAAUAGUAGGUGCUGUAGGUG
rnacentral:rRNA from 1 species